AAGAUUAUACAGGGAUUUCUAUAGUUUGUUACUAGAUUUCUAUAGUUUGUUACUAGAGAAGUUUCUCUGGUCACAUAGAUUCUAGAAACCAUCUGGAGGAAGUGAAGUGUUCCCUUCAGAGCAUGAAGCUGGCUGGCUCUUGGUGUUGCUUUGUCAUGAUUGACAUCAAUCGUUCUCUACCCUUUGGUAGAGAAAGAGGGAGAGAAUUUUCUGAGGGGG